CUACAGAAGGUGUUCACAAAAACAAAAAGGGGUUUUUUACUUUCCCUAACAGAUGUUUGGCUCACAUGAUAUACAAAUCCAAAGCAGAGGCGGAGAAGGUUUUCAGAGAGGCCGAUGAUAUUGAAAUCCACGGAGCAAAGAUGACCGUGCUGUAUGUGGACAACACACCGAAACGCAAUUGGCGAAAAGAAAAGAUACAGAAAAUUAAGACUGUUAAGAAGAAAAAGAAGCAAAAGAAACUGCAGAAAUUGCUAGCUGGACAGUAAUGGACAAGGAAUGACUGGCAGCAGUGAAGUGAGAAUGAUAAAUGGAACAAUUGAGAAAUGUAUGAAUAUAUUUGCUGAAUUGGUCACUCUUUGAUCUUGGAAAAUAUGCAGCGGAAAAAUUAUUUUUUUUUCCUUUUUUUUACCAGAUGCAUAUUUUUGUCCUUCAUGUUCUUCCUGAAUAAAAGUUUGAAAUCUAAUUAAA